GCUAGAUUAACAAAACGUCCUCGUAGUAGAUUUCUCCAAUCUACCCCAUAGCCAGCAAUCAUAACACACUUUACUUCACCAAAGCCACCAUGCACAGUGCACAUGGUGCAGUUUGGGGAAAAAAUAUGCAACUUGUGAAAUGACUUAAAUUCCCUUCAUCGUGUCAGCAGCAAUUAGAGCAGUCCCCAAGUGACUGGGAAUAGCUGUUUGAGCAAAAGUGGAGCAUCACAGAAGCGAAAUGGGGAUCUAAUCCGUAAUCACAUACCAAUCAUCACGACGUUUUUGUCUCCUAAACGUGACAUCUAUGUAACAUAUAUAGCUAGGUCCAAUGACAUAAUUCAGUCAUCAACUUGUAACAUUCUGGUUUCUAUAUCAGUAUCUUUCGUAAGGACAACGUUGGAAUUUUUCCUUUACUCUUUUCAUCAUCAUGUGUCCAGUGUAAAAUACUUUGUAACUUUAUCUUACUAGUCUCAGUUUAAGAAUACAGUUUAUCACUUUCAUUCACAAUCAUGCACAUAUACUUCAUAUAAGAAGUUUGAAUUUCUAAGUCGAGUUCAACUCCAUUGAUUAAAAGUUUAAAACAUGUAAUAGGAAGAAAGAGAAAAGGUAGAUGAAGAAGGGACAAGUUGGGAGUGGAAGCAUGGAGCUGUAACGGGUCCUCUCAAGUAGCAAAUGUGGGAACCGGGUGAAGCAGUGAGGAGCCAAUGAAGAUAUCCUUCACACAAGUUGUUUGGUGUUUUUCUGUUUUCUCUUCCCUUUUGAUUGCUCUUUUUCUCUCCCGAGUCAUAGGCUUUUCAACAGUAGGGUGUGCAAGAUUCCACUACCAAAGCAUAGGCCUCUCAUCAACGGCUUUGAUAAUGGGCUUGUGAUGGGGUCGAGGUUCUCAAAAGCCACCUGAAUAUUUUUCGUCACUAGGGUUCAUACUUUUGUUUUUCACAAUUUGCUUCCUCAGUUUUGUCGGAUUCUCAGGUGAAGUUGGAUUAGGUUGGAAAUUUUUCACGCAUGGCUGGCUGAUGAAUUUGCUACCAAGGAGAGCACUAGCACACAAGAGGACACAACCAUUCUCAUCUUUUAUUUGUUACAGUAUGGAAGUCAAGACAGAACCUAAUGAAAAACAUUUGUUUGUUUUAUUUUAUAAUGG
rnacentral:lncRNA from 1 species